CUUCUGUUACCACAAGCCAGAAAUCAAAGAAGCCUUCAUCCAGUCAAAGUACAAUUGGGAUAAGUAUCCCAAAAAAAGAAAAGAUCAAAGGGAAAUGAGGGUGAAAUGGUGCCUGACUUUCCAACUGAGGGAUUAAUCCUAUUAGUCCAAGAUCGGCCAGCACUGUGGGAUCAUACCCAUGAAAAACACUCAGACAAUUAUCAUACAAGAAAGAUGUGGCAGGAAGUGGGGGAAUGUUUAAUUCCGAACUAUGAAACAUUGUCUUCCUCAGUCAAGACUAAAUUAGAUGAGAAGAUACAAAAAAAAAUGGCGGUCAGUUAGAGAUGCUUUUAAAAGAUAUUGUACUAAAGAGGAACAAGCAUCUAAAAGUGGUUCUGGUGCCUCCAAACUUACAGUGUACAAUCAUGCCAAUAGUCUACAAUUACUUCGAAAGACAACAUCAAGUCUUUCUUCAACAUUACAGAAAGAACAGAUAGAAUAGACUGAGGGUUCCACACUACAAUCAGAAACUGCUCCACCA